rnacentral:rRNA from 1 species
CACGUAGGGCGCAAGCGUUGUCCGGAAUCAUUGGGCGUAAAGAGCGUGUAGGCGGCUUGUUAAGUCUUGCGUGAAAUCUCGGGGCUCAACCCCGAGCGGUCGUGAGAAACUGGCAGGCUAGAGUGCGGGAGAGGAGAGUGGAAUUCCUGGUGUAGCGGUGAAAUGCGCAGAUAUCAGGAGGAACACCGAUGGCGAAGGCAGGUCUCUGGGCUGACACUGACGCUCAUGCACGAAAGCGUGGGGAGCAAACAGG